UGAGGAAUAUUGCACAAUGGGGGAAACCCGUCGAUGCAGCAACGCCGCGUGGAGGAUGACGCAUUUCGGUGUGUAAACUCCUUUUAUGAGUCAAGAAAAUGACGGUAGCUCAUGAAUAAGCACCGGCUAACUCCGUGCCAGCAGCCGCGGUAAUACGGAGGGUGCAAGCGUUAUUCGGAAUCACUGGGCGUAAAGGACGCGUAGGCGGGAAGCCAAGUCUGAUGUGAAAUCCUAUGGCUUAACCAUAGAACUGCAUUGGAAACUGGUUACCUAGAGUAUGGGGAGGGGGGAGAUGGAAUUAGUGGUGUAGGGGUAAAAUCCGUAGAUAUCACUAGGAAUACCUAAAGCGAAGGCGAUCUCCUGGAACAAUACUGACGCUAAGGCGUGAAAGCGUGGGGGAGCAAACG
rnacentral:rRNA from 1 species